rnacentral:rRNA from 1 species
GAUGAACGCUGGCGGCGUGCCUAAUACAUGCAAGUCGAGCGAACAGACGAGGAGCUUGCUUCUCUGACGUUAGCGGCGGACGGGUGAGUAACACGUGGAUAACCUACCUAUAAGACUGGGAUAACUUCGGGAAAUCGGAGCUAAUACCGGAUAAUAUAUUGAACCGCAUUGUUCAAUAGUGAAAGACGGUUUUGCUGUCACUUAUGGAUGGAUCCGCGCCGCAUUAGCUAGUUGGUAAGGUAAGGGCUCACCAAGGGGACGAUAGGUAGCCGACCUGAGAGGGUGGACGGCCACAAGGGGACUGAGAGACGGCACUGACGACUACGGGAGGAAGGAGGGGGGAAUAUUGGACAAUGGGGGCAACAGUGAUCAAGCAAUUCUGUGUGCAAGAAGAAGGUUUUCGGAUUGAAAAGUGCUUUCAGCAGGGAAGAAGUAAGUGACGGUAUCUGCAGAAGAAGCGACGGCUAAAUACGUG